ensembl:processed_transcript
UUUGGAGUCACUCGAAGUACUGGUGAGUUCGGCGGUACAGUGUUGACCCGCUCCAUGUCCGAAUCACUGGACUGGACCAGAACCGGAGCGCUGGUCCUCCAGUGCGGCACGCGCAAUGACUCUGACCCGGCGUAGGUGGCCCCGUCCGGGCGUAGAAACAUGGCGCGCUGCCCGGUGGCCCGUCUCUCCGCGGAGGAGGUCAGGGAUGAAGUGAUGGGUGGCGCGAGCAUUGGCUCCGAAACCGAAACAUAAUUAGUCUUUCUGUUCGGAGCAACCGGAGGCUCGUCAGAGAACCGGGUGAUCCUCUGGCGGGUGGAAUAUGAAGAGUGCAUGAGCGACAUCUCGGACCCGUAUCGGUCUCUCUUUCUCCGGGUCAUCCGGAACAGUUUGUAGCCCACAAACAAACAAUUUAGCAGCAGGAGCAGCAGCACGCAUGGGAUGAGCACCAGGAUCAGCAGCGCCAAACUGGACACCGGGAGGCCCUCAGAUCUCAGAGAAGAAGAUCUUUCAAUAGACGCCGAAAACCCAGAUGCAGGGAUUUGCUGUUGUACAGACACAGAAGCAUCACCGAGGAUAAACUGUGUUGCAGGGGAGUGAUAUUCACAG